rnacentral:rRNA from 1 species
GACGAACGCUGGCGGCGUGCCUAAUACAUGCAAGUUGAGCGCUGAAGGUUGGUACUUGUACCAACUGGAUGAGCAGCGAACGGGUGAGUAACGCGUGGGGAAUCUGCCUUUGAGCGGGGGACAACAUUUGGAAACGAAUGCUAAUACCGCAUAAAAACUUUAAACACAAGUUUUAAGUUUGAAAGAUGCAAUUGCAUCACUCAAAGAUGAUCCCGCGUUGUAUUAGCUAGUUGGUGAGGUAAAGGCUCACCAAGGCGAUGAUACAUAGCCGACCUGAGAGGGUGGUCGGCCACAUUGGGACUUGGACACGGCCCAAACUCCUACGGGAGGCAGCAGGAGGGAAUCUUCGGCAAUGGACGAAAGUCUGACCGAGCAACGCCGCGUGAGGGGAGAAUGGUUUCGGAUCGUAAAACUCUGUUGGUAGAGAAGAACGUUGGUGAGAGUGGAAAGCUCAUCAAGUGACGGUAACUACCCAGAAAGGGACGGCUAACUACGUG